rnacentral:rRNA from 1 species
AUUUGAGAGCUUGCUCUCAAAUGUUAGCGGCGGACGGGUGAGUAACACGUGGGCAACCUGCCUAUAAGAUUGGGAUAACUUCGGGAAACCGGAGCUAAUACCGGAUAAUUCACAUCUACUCAUGUAGAUGUGCUGAAAGACGGUUUACGCUGUCACUUAUAGAUGGGCCCGCGGCGCAUUAGCUAGUUGGUGAGGUAACGGCUCACCAAGGCCACGAUGCGUAGCCGACCUGAGAGGGUGAUCGGCCACACUGGGACUGAGACACGGCCCAGACUCCUACGGGAGGCAGCAGUAGGGAAUCUUCCGCAAUGGACGAAAGUCUGACGGAGCAACGCCGCGUGAGUGAUGAAGGUUUUCGGA